rnacentral:tRNA from 3 species
ACACCGUUGGUGAAACGGUAUCAUGCAUCGUUGCCAUUGAGAAACCGACUUCUUCCAACAUUCGAUGCGGCAAGGGUUCGACUCCCUUACGGUGUA